rnacentral:rRNA from 2 species
GGGUUGUGAGGUUAAGCGACCAAGCGUACACGGUGGAUGCCCUGGCAGUCAGAGGCGAUGAAGGACGUGCUAAUCUGCGAAAAGCGCCGGUAAGGUGAUAUGAACCGUUAUAACCGGCGAUGUCCGAAUGGGGAAACCCAGUGUGACUCGUCACACUAUCAUUAACUGAAUCCAUAGGUUAAUGAGGCGAACCGGGGGAACUGAAACAUCUAAGUACCCCGAGGAAAAGAAAUCAACCGAGAUUCCCCCAGUAGCGGCGAGCGAACGGGGAGGAGCCCAGAGCCUGAAUCAGCAUGUGUGUUAGUGGAAGCGUCUGGAAAGGCGCGCGAUACAGGGUGAGAGCCCCGUACACAAAAGCGCAUAUGCUGUGAGCUCGAUGAGUAGGGCGGGACACGUGGUAUCCUGUCUGAAUAUGGGGGGACCAUCCUCCAAGGCUAAAUACUCCUGACUGACCGAUAGUGAACCAGUACCGUGAGGGAAAGGCGAAAAGAACCCCGGCGAGGGGAGUGAAACAGAACCUGAAACCGUGUACGUACAAGCAGUGGGAGCCCCACCACUAAGCCAGUGGUGAACUCCACAUACGCAUCCUUUGCGGAAGAUGCGGUUAACGGCGCGCAAGCGACGUUCAACCUCAGAAGAAGCAGAGGGGGCUUAGUGGUGGGGUGACUGCGUACCUUUUGUAUAAUGGGUCAGCGACUUAUAUUCUGUAGCAAGGUUAACCGCAUAGGGGAGCCGAAGGGAAACCGAGUCUUAAUUGGGCGUUAAGUUGCAGGGUAUAGACCCGAAACCCGGUGAUCUAGCCAUGGGCAGGUUGAAGGUUGGGUAACACUAACUGGAGGACCGAACCGACUAAUGUUGAAAAAUUAGCGGAUGACCUGUGGCU